rnacentral:lncRNA from 1 species
GUAAUCUCUUUUUUUCUGUGAUUGUUUCUGAGCCUUUUCAUAAGCAUCCCAUUUGCUUGGAACAGCUGUAGAGUGGCCUGAAUGCUGCCUCCACUUCUGGAGUGGGGUAGUGCCAUCCCAAAAUAUUCCCCAGUGGCAGGAGAUGAGGUAAGGUGGAUGGAAUGCAAUCUAUUUUUUCCUGUGAUUGGUUCUGAGCCAUUUUGUGAGCAUCCCAUUGGCUUGCAGCAGUGGUAUGCUGGCCAGGAUGUCGCCACCCCUAUGGGAGUGGAAAUGUGCCAACCUGUAAUACUCCCAAAUUUCAUCAGAUGAGGGAAAUUGGACGGAAUGCAUUCUCCUUAUUCCUGUGAAUGGUUCUAAGCCAUUUGAGAUGCUUCCCAUUAGAUUGGAAGUGCCAUAGGGCAGCGCAGAAGCCGUCUCCACUACGGGAGCUGGGUUGAGCCAGGCCAGAAUGCUCAAUGUGGCAGGAGAUGUGUUAUGGCAGAUUGAAUGCAAUGGCUUUUUUCAUGUGAUUUUUUCUGAUCCAUUUUGGAAGCAUCCCAUUAGCUGAGAGGAGCCAUAAAGUGGCUACCAUGAUGAUUCCUCCAUGGGAGUGGCAUUGUGCCAUCCAAAAAUAUUCCCUCAUGGCAGCAGAUGUGGUUAUGUGGACUGCAUGCAUUCUCAUCUUUGUUGUGAGCAGUUCUGUGCCAUUUCAGAGGCAUCAAAGUUGCUGGGAGAGGCCGAUGAGUAGCUCUGAAACCGCCUCCACUACUGGAGUGGGGUUGUGGAGGACAGAAUCCUCCCCUGUGGCUGGGAGUGUGUUCUAGAUGAAAUUAUGCAAUAUCUUUUAACUGUGAGUCUUUAUGAGCCAUUUCCAAAGCAUCCCAUUAGCUUGGAACAGCCGUACAGUGGCCUGAAAUCCACCUCCACUUCUGGAAUGGGGUAGUGCCAUCCCAAAAUAUUCCCCCAUGGCAGGAGAUGUGGUAAGGUGAAUGGAACAAAAUCUCUUUUCUCCUGUGAUGGGUUCUGAGCCAUUUUGGAAGCUUCCUAUUAGCUGAGAGCAGCCACAGUAUGUCUAGGAGGCGGUCUCCUCUAUGUGUGAGCCAUUGUGCCAUCCCAAAAUGAACCCCCAUGGCAGGAGAUGUGUUUAGGUGUAUUGAAUGCAUUCUCCUCUUUAUUUUGAGGAGUUCUGAGCUAUUUCAGAGGUAUGCAAUAUGCUGGGAGAGGCCGUAGAAUAAACAGAAAGCCGCCUCUACAACUGGAAUGGGUUUGUGCCAGGCCAGAAUCCCCACCCGUGGCUGGAGAUGCGUUUGAGCAAACUAUAGGAAAUCUCUUUUUUCUGUGAUAGUUUCUGAUCCAUUUCAUAAGCUUCCCUUUUGCUUGGAACAGCCAUACAGUUGCCUGAAAUCCACCUCCAUUUCUGGAGUGGGGUUGUGCCAUCCCAAAAUAUUCCCCUGUGGCAAGAGAUGUGGUAAGGUGGAUAGAAUGCAAUCUCUUUUUUCCUGUGAUUGAUUCUGAGACAUUUUGGAAGCAUCCCAUUAGCUGAGAGAGGCUGGCUGGUGGACCAAAAACACCUCCUCUAUAGGACCAAUUUUGUGCCAUGCCAGGAUCUUCCCCUGUGGCAGGAAAUGUGGUAAGGCAUCAAACGCAUUCUCUUUUUCCCUCUGAGUGGUUCUGAGCUGUUUUUGAAGCAAUCAAUUAGCCUGCAGCAGUGGUUCAGUGGCCUGGAAGCUGCCACCCUUAUAGCAGUGGCAUUGUGCUAAACUGUAAUGUUCCCCCAUUUGCAGAGAUCAGGUAAAAUUGAUGGAUUGCAUUCUCUUUACUCCUGUGAAUGGUUGUGAGCCAUUUCAAAACACCCCAUGAGAUUUGAAGGGCCUUGUGGUGGCCCGGAAUACACCUCUACUAUGGGAGCUGCCUGGUGCCAGGCUAGACUCCUCAAUGUUGUAGAGGAUAUAUUAUGGCAGAUGUAAUACAAUAGAUUUUUUCAUAUGAUAGUUCCUGACCCAUUUUGGAAGCAUCCCAUUAGUUGGGAGCAGCCAUAGAUUGGCUCGGAUUCAGCCUCCACUAUAGGCAUGGCAUUGUGCCUUUCAAAAAUAUCCCCUGUGGCAGAAGAUGAUGUUAGAAGGAUCGCACGCAUUCUCAUCUUUCUUUUGAGCAGUUCUGAUCCAUUUCAGAGGCAUUUAAUUUGCUGGGAGAGGCCGUAGAGUAGCCCGGAAGGAGACUCCGCUGCUGGAGUUGGGUUAUGCCAGCCCAGAAUCCUCCCCCAUGACUGGAGAUGUGUUCUGGCAAAUUAAAGGUAGUCUCUUUUUUUCUGUGAUUGUUUCUGAGCCAUUUCAAAAGCAUUCCAUUUGCUUGGAACAGCUGUAGAGUGGCCUGAAUGCUGCCUCCACUUCUGGAGUGGGGUAGUGCCAUCCCAAAAUAUUCCCCAGUGGCAGGAGAUGAGAGGCAUCAAAUUUGCUGUGAGAAGCUGUUGACUGGCCCUGAUGCUGCCUCAACUCCUGGAGUGUGGUUGUGCCAGGACAGAAUCCUUCCUCGUGGCUGGAGAUGUGUUCUGGAUGAAUGUGACAGGGAUCAACCUUGAGAACUUGCGCUUGUGAGACAGGCGCUAGAACCACUGAGCUAAAUCACCGGUCCCAUUAAUUAUCAUAUUGCCAAAUAUAAAAUUGUAAAAGUGAAUAAGAAAAUAAAAUUAAUGUUCCAUGGAAAUAGCUGAAUGACAUAAACUGUUGAUUUAUAAGACAAAUGAGAAUGCACAUUACCUCAAAAUUAGAAGGAAAAUUUAGAAAUGAUUUUAUUCUGCAAUGCAAAUUUUAAAAUAUUUGUUCAAAAAUAUUAGUGUGAUUUUUUUUGUGCUGUUAUCAAUGAGUACAUGUUACUUUUCAAAACAC